rnacentral:rRNA from 1 species
ACUGGUGCGCGAGAUGAGUAUUCUAAGGCGCUUGAGAGAACUCAGGAGAAGGAACUCGGCAAAUUGACACCGUAACUUCGGAAGAAGGUGUGCCUUUAGUAGGUGAAGGGAUUUACUCCUGGAGCCCAAUGAGGUUGCAAAAAAUCGGUGGCUGCGACUGUUUAUUAAAAACACAGCACUCUGCAAACACGAAAGUGGACGUAUAGGGUGUGACGCCUGCCCGGUGCUGGAAGAUUAAAUGAUGGGGUGCAAGCUCUUGAUUGAAGUCCCAGUAAACGGCGGCCGUAACAAUAACGGUCCUAAGGUAGCGAAAUUCCUUGUCGGGUAAGUUCCGACCUGCACGAAUGGCGUAACGAUGGCCACACUGUCUCCUCCUGAGACUCAGCGAAGUUGAAAUGUUUGUGAUGAUGCAAUCUCCCCGCGGAAAGACGGAAAGACCCCAUGAACCUUUACUGUAGCUUUGUAUUGGACUUUGAACAGAUCUGUGUAGGAUAGGUGGGAGGCUUUGAAGCAGGGUCGCUAGAUCUUGUGGAGCCAACGUUGAAAUACCACCCUGGUGUGUUUGAGGUUCUAACCUAGGCCCGUAAUCCGGGUUGGGGACAGUGCAUGGUAGGCAUUUUGACUGGGGCGGUCUCCUCCCAAAGUGUAACGGAGGAGUUCGAAGGUACGCUAGUUACGGUCGGACAUCGUGACGAUAGUGCAAUGGCAUAAGCGUGCUUAACUGCGAGACUGACAAGUCGAGCAGAUGCGAAAGCAGGACAUAGUGAUCCGGUGGUUCUGUAUGGAAGGGCCAUCGCUCAACGGAUAAAAGGUACUCUGGGGAUAACAGGCUGAUACCGCCCAAGAGUUCAUAUCGACGGCGGUGUUUGGCACCUCGAUGUCGGCUCAUCUCAUCCUGGGGCUGUAGCCGGUCCCAAGGGUAUGGCUGUUCGCCAUUUAAAGAGGUACGUGAGCUGGGUUUAAAACGUCGUGAGACAGUUUGGUCCCUAUCUUCCGUGGGCGCUGCAGAUUUGAGGAAGCCUGCUCCUAGUACGAGAGGACCGGAGUGGACGCACCUCUGGUGUAUCGGUUGUCACGCCAGUGGCAUUGCCGAGUAGCUAUGUGCGGAAGAGAUAACCGCUGAAAGCAUCUAAGCGGGAAACUCGUUUCAAGAUGAGAUCUGCCGGGGCCUUGAGCCCCCUGAAGAGUCGUUCAAGACCAGGACGUUGAUAGGUCGGGUGUGGAAGCGCAGUAAUGCGUUAAGCUAACCGAUACUAAUUGCUCGUGCGGCUUGACCCA